rnacentral:sRNA from 1 species
AUACAGGCCUGGGGAAGUGGGGGAGUCUCAACAGGAAGGGACCCAGGGCUCGUUCUCCGGGCAGAGCACCUCACCCAGGCUCACAGAGGCCAGCUCAGAGCCUGUGACCAAGAGGGUGCGCAGGCAGGUGGCUGGAGGGGGCCCAGGCUGCACCCGCCCACGUGUCACCUGUCUUGCAGGCCGCCUGGCCAUCCGGUACAGAAUGUAUUGCCAAGUACAACUUCCACGGCACUGCCGAGCAGGACCUGCCCUUCUGCAAAGGAGACGUGCUCACCAUUGUGGCCGUCACCAAGGACCCCAACUGGUACAAAGCCAAAAACAAGGUGGGCCGUGAGGGCAUCAUCCCAGCCAACUACGUCCAGAAGCGGGAGGGCGUGAAGGCGGGUACCAAACUCAGCCUCAUGCCUUGGUUCCACGGCAAGAUCACACGGGAGCAGGCUGAGCGGCUUCUGUACCCGCCGGAGACAGGCCUGUUCCUGGUGCGGGAGAGCACCAACUACCCUGGAGACUACACGCUGUGCGUGAGCUGCGAC